rnacentral:lncRNA from 1 species
CCAACAUAAACAGCUGUGUAACACCUCAUCGCCAGUACUCACACUUGAUGUGAUCUACAUGACGAUAUCAAGAGGGAUGGAAGUUAAUAGUGUUCUCAUCAUGUAACACCACCAGCCUUGUCUACCCCUCUGCAAACCUCAGCCUCAUCACCCUCUCCAAGAUUUCUCAGUCUAAAUCUGUCUCUUGAUCUUUUGGUGCUGCUGGCUUUUUCCACUGCAUUGCACAGGAAAGGACUUUUAACCACUCCCUGAGCAAUGGCGUCCAGGUGCCCCUUAACCAUUGGAAACAUUGUGGUUGGAGAGAGUUGGCACAGAUGUCCCAGUCACAGCCUCCCUCGGGCUUCUCAUUUCCCUAUUGGCUCAUCAAUCCACUGGCCAGAAGGAGACCUGCAUUGGAUGCUGUAUUGGAAGUCCAGGUCAGGAUAUUUUCCUUGAUUUCUCAGACUCCACCAGAGAGCCCUUCAGCAUCAUGGCUGGAUUCCACCCAUACUAGAUAUAUCUGCCUUUGUCUAAGGUUUGUGAUUCAUGGUCCCUGCUGUGGGCGGUUUAC